CGCUGGCGGCGUGCCUAACACAUGCAAGUCGAGCGAGGAGAUUCCUUCGGGAUGAUCCUAGCGGCGGACGGGUGAGUAACACGUGGGCAACCUGCCUCAUAGAGAGGAAUAGCCUUCCGAAAGGGAGAUUAAUACCUCAUAACAUUGCAGUUUCGCAUGAAACAGCAAUUAAAGGAGCAAUCCGCUAUGAGAUGGGCCCGCGGCGCAUUAGCUAGUUGGUGAGGUAACGGCUCACCAAGGCGACGAUGCGUAGCCGACCUGAGAGGGUGAUCGGCCACAUUGGGACUGAGACACGGCCCAGACUCCUACGGGAGGCAGCAGUGGGGAAUAUUGCACAAUGGGGGAAACCCUGAUGCAAGCAACGCCGCGUGAGUGAUGACGGCCUUCGGGUUGUAAAGCUCUGUCUUCAGGGACGAUAAUGACGGUACCUGAGGAGGAAGCCACGGCUAACUACGUGCCAGCAGCCGC
rnacentral:rRNA from 1 species